rnacentral:lncRNA from 1 species
AAGAGAGUGUCUUCCCUUCACAAAUUGCUGCUACUUCAAGCUCACUAGUGCAUCCCAAGAGAUCAAAAUUUGCAUCGAAUUCACAAAGAAAAGAGCAAUGUGGCUGUCGCCAAUAAACUAGACUCCAUUUUACUCUCCUUCUGCGGGACGUCUGGUUCGAGCAGCACUUGGGUUUACAGUCUGUGCGCAGAAGCGUGAGAGAUGACAUGGGACUGAGAUUGCAAGCAAGGAAUUGAUCGACAGCCUCCUGGCCUCCUCCUUACAGCUCCUCAGAAGCAUCAGGCUCCCUCCCUGCACAGGACAUCCCAACGGGAGGUUUCCUCUGCCUGAGAAUCCUCCUGCCCUCCUCUCUUUGCAGAUUGAAUUAAAGAUCUUAGUGUGGCCCUAAAUCCAAUGACAAGUGUCCAGAUCAGAGACAGAAGAGAAGAGACACAGACACAGAGGAGAAGCCACGUAAAGAUGGAGGCAGGGACGGGAGCGACGCGGCCACCAGCCCAGGGAUGACUGGAGCCCUCAGCAGCUGGAAGAGGCAGGAAGGACCCUCCCCUGGAGCCUCUGGAGGGAGUGCAGCUCUGCUGUCACCUUGGUUCCAGACUUCUGGUCUCCUGAACUGAAAGGAAAUAAAUCUGUUGUGUUAAACCACCUGGUUUGUGGUAAUUUGUUACAGCAGCAAUAAGAAAAUGAUAGACUACCCAAAAGGACUUAAUUUAUUACGACGUAGUACAUUUCUUUCUCAUUCUUCUUCUUCCCGGUAUGUUAUAGCCAAGAGGAAGCAAUGAUCAUUAAAGCAUAUUUUC